rnacentral:rRNA from 1 species
UACGAAGGGGGCUAGCGUUGCUCGGAAUCACUGGGCGUAAAGCGCACGUAGGCGGCUUUCUAAGUCAGGGGUGAAAUCCUGGAGCUCAACUCCAGAACUGCCUCUGAUACUGGAGAGCUCGAGUCCGGAAGAGGUGAGUGGAACUGCGAGUGUAGAGGUGAAAUUCGUAGAUAUUCGCAAGAACACCAGUGGCGAAGGCGGCUCACUGGUCCGGUACUGACGCUGAGGUGCGAAAGCGUGGGGAGCAAACAGG